rnacentral:rRNA from 1 species
GACGAACGCUGGCGGUGUGCUUAACACAUGCAAGUCGAACGGUAAGGCCCUUUCGGGGGUACACGAGUGGCGAACGGGUGAGUAACACGUGAGUAACCUGCCCUCAUCUCUGGGAUAACAGUCGGAAACGGUUGCUAAUACUGGAUAUGAGCUUGCAAGGCAUCUUGUGGGUUGGAAAGAUUUUUUUUGGUUGGGGAUGGACUCGCGGCCUAUCAGCUUGUUGGUGAGGUAGUGGCUCACCAAGGCUUCGACGGGUAGCCGGCCUGAGAGGGCGACCGGCCACAUUGGGACUGAGAUACGGCCCAAACUCCUACGGGAGGCAGCAGUGGGGAAUAUUACACAAUGGACGGAAGUCUGAUGCAGCAACGCCGCGUGCGGGAUGACGGCCUUCGGGUUGUAAACCGCUUUCAAUUGUGACGAAGCUUUUUUGUGACGGUAGCAGUAGAAGAAGCACCGGCUAACUACGUG